UACGGAGGGGGCGAGCGUUAUUCGGAAUCAUUGGGCGUAAAGGGCGCGUAGGCCGCCGGGCAAGUCAGGGGUGAAAUCCCUCGGCUCAACCGAGGAAUUGCCUCUGAAACUGCCCAGCUAGAGGCCGGGAGAGGGUAGUGGAAUUUCCAGUGUAGCGGUGAAAUGCGUAGAUAUUGGGAGGAACACGAGUGGGGAAGGCGGCUACCUGGACCGGUUCUGACGCUGAGGCGCGAAAGCGUGGGGAGCAAACAGG
rnacentral:rRNA from 1 species